rnacentral:rRNA from 1 species
GAUGAACGCUGGCGGCGCGCCUAACACAUGCAAGUCGAACGGCACCUAUCUUCGGAUAGAAGCGAGUGGCGAACGGCUGAGUAACACGUGGAGAACCUGCCCCCUCCCCCGGGAUAGCCGCCCGAAAGGACGGGUAAUACCGGAUACCCCCGGGCGCCGCAUGGCGCCCGGGCUAAAGCCCCGACGGGAGGGGAUGGCUCCGCGGCCCAUCAGGUAGACGGCGGGGUGACGGCCCACCGUGCCGACAACGGGUAGCCGGGUUGAGAGACCGACCGGCCAGAUUGGGACUGAGACACGGCCCAGACUCCUACGGGAGGCAGCAGUGGGGAAUCUUGCGCAAUGGGGGGAACCCUGACGCAGCGACGCCGCGUGCGGGACGGAGGCCUUCGGGUCGUAAACCGCUUUCAGCAGGGAAGAGUCAAGACUGUACCUGCAGAAGAAGCCCCGGCUAACUACGUGCCAGCAGCCGCGGUAAUACGUAGGGGGCGAGCGUUAUCCGGAUUCAUUGGGCGUAAAGCGCGCGUAGGCGGCCCGGCAGGCCGGGGGUCGAAGCGGGGGGCUCAACCCCCCGAAGCCCCCGGAACCUCCGCGGCUUGGGUCCGGUAGGGGAGGGUGGAACACCCGGUGUAGCGGUGGAAUGCGCAGAUAUCGGGUGGAACACCGGUGGCGAAGGCGGCCCUCUGGGCCGAGACCGACGCUGAGGCGCGAAAGCUGGGGGAGCGAACAGGAUUAGAUACCCUGGUAGUCCCAGCCGUAAACGC